rnacentral:rRNA from 1 species
CCUACGGGUGGCAGCAGUGGGGAAUAUUGGACAAUGGGGGAAACCCUGAUCCAGCGACGCCGCGUGAGUGAAGAAGUAUUUCGGUACGUAAAGCCCUAUCAGUAGGAAAGAAAAUGACGGUACCUGACUAAGAAGCCCCGGCUAACUACGUGCCAGCAGCCGCGGUAAUACGUAGGGGGCAAGCGUUAUCCGGAUUUACUGGGUUGAAAGGGAGCGUAGACGGCCGCGCAAGUCUGGAGUGAAAUGCCAGGGCCCAACCCCGGAGCUGCUCUUGAAACUGGGAGGCGGGAGUGCGGGAGAGGUAAGCGGAAUUCCUGGUGUAGCGGUGAAAUGCGUAGAUAUCAGGAGGAACACCGGCGGCGAAGGUGGCUUACUGGACUGUAACUGACGUUGAGGCUCGAAGGCGUGGGGAGCAAACAGGAUUAGAUACCCCAGUAGUC